rnacentral:rRNA from 1 species
AUUGAACGCUGGCGGCAGGCCUAACACAUGCAAGUCGAACGGUAACAGGAAGCAGCUUGCUGCUUUGCUGACGAGUGGCGGACGGGUGAGUAAUGUCUGGGAAACUGCCUGAUGGAGGGGGAUAACUACUGGAAACGGUAGCUAAUACCGCAUAACGUCGCAAGACCAAAGAGGGGGACCUUCGGGCCUCUUGCCAUCGGAUGUGCCCAGAUGGGAUUAGCUAGUAGGUGGGGUAACGGCUCACCUAGGCGACGAUCCCUAGCUGGUCUGAGAGGAUGACCAUCCACACUGGAACUGAGACACGGUCCAGACUCCUACGGGAGGCAGCAGUGGGGAAUAUUGCACAAUGGGCGCAAGCCUGAUGCAGCCAUGCCGCGUGUAUGAAGAAGGCCUUCGGGUUGUAAAGUACUUUCAGCGGGGAGGAAGGGAGUAAAGUUAAUACCUUUGCUCAUUGACGUUACCCGCAGAAGAAGCACCGGCUAACUCCGUG